rnacentral:lncRNA from 1 species
UUUUUUUUUUUUUAAAGGAGGAAUAGAGGGGAAAUAUAGUAUAAAAAACGUGUUGCCUCUGAGAAGGAGCCACUGUCUAUACCCUGGAGCUAAGCACUAUUGGGGAAUACACUCAUAUUUUUUAUUUUAUCUACAAAAUUGGUGAGAUAUCAAUUUAUUUCAUUUUCUCUUCAUAAAUACAAAUGGACAACUAAGUAUCACAGAAAUAUUAGAGGAAUGCAACAUAAAAGAAAAAUACCAAGAGAGGAGAUAUGGAGUGGGUGAAGAAAGAGAGGAAGAUUUAUUCUAAGGAACUGGCUCACACAGUUGUGGAGCUGGCUAAUCCAAAAUCUUCUGUGAAGUCCAUCACCCUAGAGACUCAGGAGAAAGUGGCUGUUACAGCUUGAGUCCAAAGAAAGUCUGGGGACAGAAUUUCCUUUUCCUUGGGGAAUCUCAGUCUUCUUUCUCUCAAGGCCUUCAACUGAAUGAGCAAUCUUCUUUAUUCAAGUCUACUAAUUUAAAGGCUAAUUUCACCCAAAACAGUAAUUUCCCAGCAACAUCUAGACUAGGUUUGACCAAAUAUCUGGGUAUUGUGGCUUACCCAAGUUGACACAUAAAAUUAAUCAUUAUUAACAUUAAAAAUUUCAGCCGAAGGACUGGAAAAUAAAGUUUAGGAAAUUUACUAGAAUAUAAACAGAAGAGCAAAAGCAUGGCAUAUACGAAAGCAAAAGGUUGUGAGUCUUAAGACUCCAAAGGAUCACAAAAUAGCUAGCACAGUUAUUAAAAAAUUAAAGAUGACUGGUAUCUAAAAAAUUCUGAAAUUUCAGAACAUCAAAAUAGAGAAAAGAGUCUUAAAAAUUUUUUAGAGAGCAAAAGAAAAUCACUUCUGAAGGAAUAUGAAUCAUAUUGGCAUGAGAGUUGUCAUCAGCAAUCACUGGAUGUCAGAAGACAAUGAUGCAAUCCCUUCAAAAUUUGAGGAAGAAUGUGAUACGUGACUUCAAAUUCUAUUUCCAGGCAAACAAUCAAUCAAAUUGGUCAGGAAGAAGGAAUUUUCAGGCAUAUGAUGACUCAAAGUUUAUCUCCCACAUAGUCUAACUUAUUUCAAGGUUUUCUCCAGCAAAUCAAGAGGCUGGAAAAAAGAAUCAAAGGAAAAGACCGCUCUUUACAAAUACGUGAGGCAAAUAAACCAAAUUGAUUACUUGCAAGACAGAAGAAUUGUGGGUAUAAUAUGCAAUCUUUGAACAAAGCAAAGAAUAGGAUUUAUGUAGGCUCUGAGUUAUGUGGAGUUAGGUUAAUUUGUUAUGCUGACCUUCAGAGACAUCUGAAGUGAAGUAUCCACCGAUUAGCUAGCUGACCAUGGGAGGCCUGAGAACAUAAAUGCCACUAUCACCGAUUGACAGCAAUUCAUUUAAAAUCUUUUCUGAGGUACCCCAUUUAUGGUUUGGAUUUUGGGCAAGAAUGACAAAUCAGUAUUUGAGGCAAAAUAACAAUCAAUAUUUUCUUGAUGUUGGAAAAGAGGAAAUUUUAUUCUCAAAAGAUGAUGGUAGGGACCCAGGAAAGUAGAUCUAAGCAAGAGAAAAGAGGAGUACCAGCUAAGCCCUCUUGAAGCAGAAGGUUGGAAGUCUACAGGAGAGAGGUAUUUAAUGCAAAAAGGGAUUAAAUGAAAUAUAAAGUAUAUUUGAGAGCUCAGAGGGAAAUGUGAUGUAGUGCAAUAUUAGCAUUAUAAGAAUAAACUUUGGGAGCCAAAUGGUUGUGCUUGAGUCCCCUCUCUAUCGGUUACACAUCUCCACCGUGUGACCUAAAACGUGCUACUUAACCUCUCUCUGCCUCUUGCUUCAUCUGUAAAUUGACCAGAGGAAUACUAUCUAUCUUACGGACAUGUGAAGACCAUACCAUGUGUAUUGUUAUCUAUUGCUUUGCUAUAACUUACUACAAAAUUUAGUGGCUUAAAACAAUGAUAAGCAUGUUUUAUCUUUUAUAAUUUCUGUAGGACGAGAAGAUGCAUAGGCUUGGCUGGGGAGACCUGACUCAAGAUCUAUCAUGAUGUGGAAAUCAAGAUGAUGGGGCUCUACUGCAUCACUCACAGUCAGUGCUGGCUGUUGACAGGAGACCUCAGUUUCUCUCUCUAGGAGCCUCUCCCAGAGAUGCUGAAGUAUCCUUAUGAGGUUAUAGUUGUGGCUGGCUUUCCCCAGGGCCAGUGACAGAAAAGAGCUGGCCAGACGCUAUCCUCGUUAC